GAAAGAAAGAAAGAAAGAAAGAAAGAAAGAAAGAAAGAAAGAAAGAAAGAAAGAAAGAAAGAAUCGGCUAAAAGAAGUCAAAGAAGGGAGCCGACGUUAACGAAGGUAAGUUUGUUUUAAAUAUUGAUUUUAUAAUGGCUUUAGUAAAACCCGACGGCCUUUGCAUAUGAAACAACUAAACAAGACAGCAUAUAAUUUCAGUGUAACUUGAUUCUUUUUUCUAUUAUGUUGAAUUUUUUAAAUAAAAAAGAAAGCAAAGUUAUUUGCAAGCGAGAAUUUGAAAUCAUUUUAUUGCAAACUCAAAGUUUAUCGAUAAAGCCAUUUAAUUAUUUAAAGGCAGUUUAGUUUUAUAAUGAACACUUUAAAACGUUUUGCGAAGCGUUUGUGGUUGAAUUUUACCUUAAAUUGAGGCUUAUAUUACGUAUAGUAACAUACCUAACAUAUAUAUGUUGGGAAAUUGAUAAUUUUGUAAUUAAAAGUGAUAUUUUUAGCAAAUUUUUCAUUUGUAAAAAUAUUCUUAAAAAAUUAUCGUGUUACCAUGACAACUACUCUAGAUACUUCAUGUUCGGAAAAUACAAUGGUUUUGUAAGCAAGGCGAGGGUUUCUGCAUGUAUGUAUUUUCUAGUUUAGACCUGAAUUAGUGUUAGAGCGCUGCACCGGAAUCGCAGGGCCGCAGGUUUGACUCCUGCCAGAGGGCCUAUAGUUGCAUUUUUCGCAGCUGCUCCUGGUUAGAUGUAAAUCAAUAUAUAAAACUUACGCUCGAAAUUUCCAUCUACAAAAAUCCUUCAACAUUGGUUUAUAAUUGCUCAAUGUGGAUCGUCAGUGAGUCACCUGUUAAUCCCAUGUAGAGUGAAAUCGACGUCAAAUAGUGAAGAAUUCGGGUAUGCCAACACUAAACAUCUAUACAUUAUGCAUACAGAAAUAACCAAUGAGAACCUUUGGUAUUGAGCAGGUUGUCUCUGACAUUUGGUAAACGAAAACACACUAGUCUGAUAUAUUAUAAUGUUCAGUGUGGUUGGUAUAUUGGGUAAAAAAUGUUUAACCGUGUGAUCUGUCUGAAAAAUUAGAAGACGUAUAAACGAUAGAUUUGCUAAUAUAAGCACCUGUGUAAUGUCAAGAACAACAUGUACAAAAAACCUGGUGCCAGUCAUUUCAAUAGUUCCGUCUACUCUUCUAAUAUCCGCAAAGGCAGAAACAGCGUCUCAUUUUCAAACCUGGCGCCAUUAGCCCACAUGGUCUCAAUUACCAAUUAUGACAUGCAUGAGGUGGAGGUUUUACCCUUAAAUUAAACCCCGGUUAUUGUUGAUUUAGGCAUGCCGCUACCUUGUCACUAUUAUUGUAAGUCAUUUUGUAGACUAGCACCGCCUUCCCACCGGGCACACGACGUUGUUUCAACGUUGAAAUUUGGUAGAAAAAAGGUUGCGACGUCGACAACCUAAUAUCUACGUUGCUCUGACCUUGUUUUACAAACAUUAGUUCAACAGCAGCCAACAG